rnacentral:rRNA from 1 species
UGGAGCAUGUGGUUUAAUUCGAAGCAACGCGAAGAACCUUACCAGGUCUUGACAUCCCGAUGCUUAUUUCUAGAGAUAGAAAGUUACUUCGGUACAUCGGUGACAGGUGGUGCAUGGUUGUCGUCAGCUCGUGUCGUGAGAUGUUGGGUUAAGUCCCGCAACGAGCGCAACCCCUAUUGUUAGUUGCCAUCAUUCAGUUGGGCACUCUAGCGAGACUGCCGGUAAUAAACCGGAGGAAGUGGGGAUGACGUCAAAUCAUCAUGCCCCUUAUGACCUGGGCUACACACGUGCUACAAUGGUUGGUACAACGAGUUGCGAGUCGGUGACGGCGAGCUAAUCUCUUAAAGCCAAUCUCAGUUCGGAUUGUAGGCUGCAACUCGCCUACAUGAAGUCGGAAUCGCUAGUAAUCGCGGAUCAGCACGCCGCGGUCGAAUACGUUCCCGGGCCUU